rnacentral:rRNA from 1 species
GACGAACGCUGGCGGCGUGCCUAACACAUGCAAGUCGAGCGGAGAACGACGAGCAGCUUGCUGCAAGUUGUUCUUAGCGGCGGACGGGUGAGUAACGCGUGGGCAAUCUGCCUCAAACAGGGGGAUAACACAGGGAAACUUGUGCUAAUACCGCAUAAAACCACAACAUGGCAUCAUGAAGUGGUCAAAGGAAGAAAUUCCGGUUUGAGAUGAGCCCGCGUCUGAUUAGCUAGUUGGUGAGGUAACGGCUCACCAAGGCGACGAUCAGUAGCCGAACUGAGAGGUUGAUCGGCCACAUUGGGACUGAGACACGGCCCAGACUCCUACGGGAGGCAGCAGUGGGGAAUAUUGCACAAUGGGGGAAACCCUGAUGCAGCGACGCCGCGUGAAGGAAGAAGGCCUUCGGGUUGUAAACUUCUUUGACCAGGGACGAAAAAAUGACGGUACCUGGAGAACAAGCCACGGCUAACUACGUG